AGUGAACGCUGGCGGUAGGCCUAACACAUGCAAGUCGAACGGCAGCACAGUAAGAGCUUGCUCUUACGGGUGGCGAGUGGCGGACGGGUGAGGAAUACAUCGGAAUCUACUUUUUCGUGGGGGAUAACGUAGGGAAACUUACGCUAAUACCGCAUACGACCUACGGGUGAAAGCAGGGGAUCUUCGGACCUUGCGCGAUUGAAUGAGCCGAUGUCGGAUUAGCUAGUUGGCGGGGUAAAGGCCAACCAAGGCGACGAUCCGUAGCUGGUCUGAGAGGAUGAUCAGCCACACUGGAACUGAGACACGGUCCAGACUCCUACGGGAGGCAGCAGUGGGGAAUAUUGGACAAUGGGCGCAAGCCUGAUCCAGCCAUACCGCGUGGGUGAAGAAGGCCUUCGGGUUGUAAAGCCCUUUUGUUGGGAAAGAAAAGCAGCAGGUUAAUACCCCGCUGUCCUGACGGUACCCAAAGAAUAAGCACCGGCUAACUUCGUG
rnacentral:rRNA from 1 species